GGGCUGAGUGAUUAGAGCUCUUAAAUUUUGUAGUAUGAAUAUGAUUUGGAGAUUUUGGAUGUCAAUCAAAAUGUGUUAGAAUUGUUACUGUUGGCGGGUAGUUAGAGUCCAAUUGUGAACCCAUGUUUGGAUGUUAUAUUGUUGUUCUGCUUUGAAUUGGAACUAAGUUGAAGAGCUUGGAUGGUCAUAAGGUGGAAUUGGUUUGGUCUUUAAUUUAAAAUGUGAAUUAUGUUAGUUAGCAAAAUUUGUUUUUCUAUUAGUGAAGUGAAUCAUGUUACAUUAAGUUAGUUACUGAAGAUGGCUUUGUUAAUUGUUACCUAACCAUUGCCUUGUUAUGAAACAAAAUUUCCUUGACUUAUUGGAUUGUUGAUCGAACUGUCAUCGGUUUUUAUGCCGACAUUUGGUUGAAUUCAAGUGGGGAUAUGCUCUGCAGGUUUGUUACAUAGUUUGACAUAUGCUUGAAAUGCACUUCCACGAAGCAGCAGUCACAAGUAUGAUGGCUUGUUUGGAACGUGUCAUUGGCACUUGGAUCGCAUAGAAGAUUUGAACUCCACCGAGCUGUUUUGGACUUAGAUUAAAUGAUUGUAAUGAAAUAAUUUGGAUGUAUUUAUGUAUGUUAGAUGAUGAAUUGGAAUGUUAGAAAUGGUUGUUAUGCGAAGUUGCCGUCACGGACUUGCUUGAAUCUUGAGAUGACUAUGUACAUAUGCUUUAGAAAUUAGUAAAAUGUGAGAAAUGGUUUUGAAUGGUUUAUGAUGUAAUGGAGUUUGGGAAUGAAUUUGGUUUUUGUA